rnacentral:rRNA from 1 species
AAACUUCUUUAUCACCGAGUGCUUGCACUCACCGAUAAAGAGUUGAGUGGCGAACGGGUGAGUAACACGUGGGCAACCUGCCCAAAAGAGGGGGAUAACACUUGGAAACAGGUGCUAAUACCGCAUAACCAUAGUUACCGCAUGGUAACUAUGUAAAAGGUGGCUAUGCUACCGCUUUUGGAUGGGCCCGCGGCGCAUUAGCUAGUUGGUGGGGUAAAGGCUUACCAAGGCAAUGAUGCGUAGCCGAACUGAGAGGUUGAUCGGCCACAUUGGGACUGAGACACGGCCCAAACUCCUACGGGAGGCAGCAGUAGGGAAUCUUCCACAAUGGGCGAAAGCCUGAUGGAGCAACGCCGCGUGGGUGAAGAAGGUCUUCGGAUCGUAAAACCCUGUUGUUAGAGAAGAAAGUGCGUGAGAGUAACUGUUCACGUUUCGACGGUAUCUAACCAGAAAGCCACGGCUAACUACGUGCCAGCAGCCGCGGUAAUACGUAGGUGGCAAGCGUUAUCCGGAUUUAUUGGGCGUAAAGGGAACGCAGGCGGUCUUUUAAGUCUGAUGUGAAAGCCUUCGGCUUAACCGGAGUAGUGCAUUGGAAACUGGGAGACUUGAGUGCAGAAGAGGAGAGUGGAACUCCAUGUGUAGCGGUGAAAUGCGUAGAUAUAUGGAAGAACACCAGUGGCGAAAGCGGCUCUCUGGUCUGUAACUGACGCUGAGGUUCGAAAGCGUGGGUAGCAAACAGGAUUAGAUACCCUGGUAGUCCACGCCGUAAACGAUGAAUGCUAAGUGUUG